rnacentral:misc_RNA from 1 species
UUUCCGUAGGUGAACCUGCGGAAGGAUCAUUACCACACCUCAAACAAAAAAGAGCAUCCGGCGAUAAAAAGCCGGUAUGUGACUGUCCCGCGGAGUUUAUGUCCACACUUUUAGACCUCGUUGCGUCACUGCAACCUGGUCCAAGCCCUUCUUUUUUACUUCCCACUUUUCUUUAAGAAAGUGCGAUUUGAAAAUCCAAACAUCCUGUUUACGAACUCAUUGUAAAAGAGAUAUGGCUCGCGUUUCGGAGGGUUUCCGCCCUCCUUCUCGAGCGAAUAGAUCAUAAUGAAGUAACGUUUAACACUUUCAGCAACGGAUGUCUUGGCUCCC